AGUUAAUUUUUUCAUCCAUGUCAAGUGUUAAAAACUGGUGUGGCUGAUGAAAUAACUAAUAGUUACACAUGGUGUGCCAUAUGUACCUCUUAUUGACGAAUAGAGACCAGUUUUUAACAGUAGAAAUGGACGAAAUUUUAAUA
rfam:Gossypium hirsutum cultivar TM-1 unplaced genomic scaffold scaffold120.1, whole genome shotgun sequence